CCCCCUGGACAGAACCGAACGGAGGCAGCCUCAGCCGCAAGCCAGCCAGCCAGCCUGCCUGCCUGCCUGCCUCCUUGGGGACCUUCCCUGGGUUCCUACCGCUCCGUCCCAGCCUGGCCUUGCGGGGGCAGUUCGGGGUGCAGCGGCGGCGGCGGCGGCGGCGAGCGACCCCCGCGCUCCACCUCGUACCUCAAGCCCGGGGAUUUGCUAAAAGUGUCCGAGGCGAGCAGCAAAAGGCAGGAGGAGAUCAGGGAGCGGGGAGCCCAAGAGGAAGAAGAAGGAGAACGCGCGCCGGGGGUGCUGGAACCAGUUGUAUUGGCUCUUGCCUUUCCAUUGGACCAUUUCAGUGUGGCGCUCGGGCCUGGGCGAGCGCAGCCCUGCAGUCUUGACUGCAGCUGGGCGCGGAGGGGGGGGUCGCCUGGGGGGGAGGCUUUCGAAAACCUGCUUUUCUGUUGCUUUCCCCUCCCCCCUGGUCAGCCCUUAGCGGGACUCCCACCCCAUCCACCCCUCUUUAAACGAGAGGUUCUGAUAUUCCAGUCACCAUGCAGAGAAAGAAAGAAAGAAAGAAAGAAAGAAAGAAAGAAAGAAAGAAAGAAAGAAAGAAAGAAAGAAAGAAAGAAAGAAAGAAAGAAAGAAAAAAGAAAGAAAGAAAGAAAGAAAGAAAGAAAGAAAGAAAGAAAGAAAGAAAAAAAGAAAGAAAGAAAGAAAGAAAGAAAGAAAGAAAGAAAGAAAGAAAGAAAGAAAGAAAGAAAGAAAGAAAAAGAUGUAGGGGAAUGGAGGAUACUGGGACCUGCUAGAGGCCCCUUUGAAAUGGUGCCAUUUUCAGAUUUAAGUCUUUUCCCAAUGAAUUUCUCUAGCUCUGAGCUCCAUCCAGUCUUGGAAGGUAUCACCAAUGCGGAUUGCCAAGGAAGUAUAAUAAAUAACCCUUGUCCAAUAAUCGGAGUAAUAAUAGUAAACAUUGUAGUAAUUGCCAUCACUACUACUGUUAUCAUAGUUACUCCUUCUAUGCUGUGCUACACUAUAUUGUAA
rnacentral:lncRNA from 1 species